ACGCACUUUGUAUUGUUGUGGGUCUCUCUGAUUAUGUGGAGCGGACUUUGAACAAUGGUGCGGAAAGUGAGAGCUGUUUAGUCAGCAGGCAGCCAGACAACUGCCGAGGUGGAUCCACAGAUGAACGGAUUUUUAAUGCUGUUUGUCUACUAAUUCCACCUUACAUUU
rfam:Cajanus cajan Scaffold000328_2, whole genome shotgun sequence.